GGCUCUGAGAGGAGUAGCCCGGAGAUGGGUACUGAGACACGGACCCAGGCCCUAUGGGGCGCAGCAGGCGAGAAAACUUUGCAAUGUGCGAAAGCACGACAAGGUUAAUCUGAGUGAUUUGUGCUAAACGAAUCUUUUGUUAGUCCUAGAAACACUAACGAAUAAGGGGUGGGCAAGUUCUGGUGUCAGCCGCCGCGGUAAAACCAGCACCUCAAGUGGUCAGGAUGAUUAUUGGGCCUAAAGCAUCCGUAGCCGGCUCUGUAAGUUUUCGGUUAAAUCUGUACGCUUAACGUACAGGCUGCCGGGAAUACUGCAAAGCUAGGGAGUGGGAGAGGUAGACGGUACUCGGUGGGAAGUGGUAAAAUGCUUUGAUCUAUCGAUGACCACCUGUGGCGAAGGCGGUCUACCAGAACACGUCCGACGGUGAGGGAUGAAAGCUGGGGGAGCAAACCGGAUUAGAUACCCGGGUAGUCCCAGCUGUAAACUAUGCAAACUCAGUGAUGCAUUGGCUUGUGGCCAAUGCAGUGCUGCAGGGAAGCCGUUAAGUUUGCCGCCUGGGAAGUACGUACGCAAGUAUGAAACUUAAAGGAAUUGGCGGGGGAGCACCACAAGGGGUGAAGCCUGCGGUUCAAUUGGAUUCAACGCCGGG
rnacentral:rRNA from 1 species